UACGUAGGGGGCAAGCGUUGUCCGGAUUUAUUGGGCGUAAAGAGCGUGUAGGCGGUCAGAUAAGUCCGCUGUGAAAUCUCGAGGCUCAACUUCGAGCUGUCGGUGGAAACUGUCUGGCUAGAGUCCGGAAGAGGAGAAUGGAAUUCCUGGUGUAGCGGUGAAAUGCGCAGAUAUCAGGAAGAACACCCGUGGCGAAGGCGGUUCUCUGGGACGGUACUGACGCUGAGACGCGAAAGCGUGGGGAGCGAACAGG
rnacentral:rRNA from 1 species